rnacentral:lncRNA from 1 species
CUCAGACAUGGUAGGUAAGUGCUCCGCCACUGAGCUACAGCCCCAGCCCCUCAAAUGCCAUUUUAAAAUAACUUAGUGUUUAAAAAGGUGUCAUGAGGCCAGGUGCAGUGGUGCACGCCUGUAAUCCUAGCAGCUUGGGAGGCUGAGGAAGGAGGAUCAUGAGUUCAAAGCCAGCCUCAGGAACAACGAGGCACUAAGCAACUCUAAAUUGAGACCUUGUCUCUAAAUAAAAUACAGAAUAGGGCUGGGGAUGUGGGGCUGGGGAUGUGGCUCAGUGGUCGGGUGCCUCUGAAUUCAAUCCCCAAGACCUCCCCGCCCCCAAAAAGGUGUCAUGUAACAUUGAAAUGAAAAUAAUCAUGCAUAUAUCCUAUAUCCUAGCAAUUUUGUUUUCAGGCAUCUAUCGUCUAGAAAUAGUUAAUACAGGUGCCCCCAAAGAAGAACAUUAAAGGAAAAUAUUGUCAGGGUUUGAGGUUGGCAAAUGAAUUAAAACUAUCUAAGUGUUCAUUCAAAGGGAGAGUGGUUAAGUGAAUUAUUGAAUAUCUUUACAAGGGAAUCAUUUGCAUACAUUUAAAGACGGCAUCGGUUUAUUUAUAAGUGCUGAUAUUGGCUGGGCAUGGUGGCGCAUGCCUGCAACCCUAGGGGCUGGGGAGGCAGAGGUAGGAGGAUCACAAGUUCCUAAGCUCUAAGCAACUCAGUGAAACCUUGUCUCUAACUAAAAUAUAAAAAGGGCUGGGGUGUGGCUCAGUGGUUAAAUGUUGCUGGGCUCAAUCCCUGGUACCUAAAAAAAAGAAAAAGUGCUGAUAUCGAAUGGUAUUUAUGAUAAAUUAAGAGAGAAAAGCAAAUUGCAGAACACUAUAUUUAGUGUGCUUCUAUUUGAGUACUUAAGUGAUUUAUUUAUAAAGAAAAUCCCAGAUAACCAUGUGCCUCUGUAUGCAUAGAAAAAUUUGGAAAAAUACUCAGGAAAUUGUGAAAAAUGUGAUGAUUUGAAAGAGAGUUGUUUUAUUUUGUAUUCCUUGUGUACUAUGAAUUUUGGGAACCAGGAGAAUUUUAAAUUUUUCCAGUAAAAAUUACUUUAAAAAGACAAUGAAAAUCAUCUCUGGGCCCUCUACUCAGCAGAUUUUUUAAAAUGUUUUGAAGUGUAUCCUUCUAGAUUUUUCUUUUACUCACAUACGGCAUACAUUAGUCAAUAUAAUACAGCCAUUUGUGAUUCAUUUUUUUCCUCAAAUAAAAAUUUCUUUUGUCAAUACAUAUAGUUGAUCAUUUUAUAUUUUUCUUUAGUCUGGAUACAUUUUAUUGAUCAUAAAAUGCACAGAAUAACAAAAUUCACCCAUUAUAAUUAAAGUAAGAAAAUAAGUGCAGUUUUGGCGUGUUUUUGCAAUACUGGGGCUGAACCCAGGAGUGCUAGAUCCCAAGCCCUUUUAUUUUUAACUUUGAUUAAUUAAUUUUUUUGGGGGGGGAUACCAGGGAUCGAACUCAGGGGCACUUGGCCACUGAGCCACCUCCCAGCCCUAUUUUGUAUUUUAUUUGGAGACAGGGUCUCACUGAGUUGCUUAAGGCCUUGCUAAGUUGCUGAGGCAGGUUUUGAACUUGCAAUCCUCCUGCUUCAAACCCCGAGCACCUCUGCACCUGGCUAAAACGCAGCUAUUUUCGGUAUAUUGUCGUUUGUUUUGUUUUUGUUUGGUACUGGGUAUUGAACCCAGGAACCCUCAACCACUAAGUCACAUCCCCAGCCCUUUUUUUUUUGUAUUUAAUUUAGGGUCUCCGUGAGAUGCUUACUGCCUUACUAAAUUGCUGAGGCUGGCUUUGACCUCAUGGUCCUCCUGCCUCAGCCUCCCCAGCCGCUGGGAUUAUAGGCGUGGGCCAUCUUUCCCAGCCACUCCCCUGCUCCCUGUGCCUGGUGAAUGCAGCCAGAUAUAUAUUUAAGCAAAAAUCACUGCUUGGCCAAGUCAAUACAGGAGGUUAAAAUACAUUUGAAGUGACUAUGAUUUCACAGAAGGAAGGUGUUCUAUGUGGCUUCUACUCCCCAGCCCUGACAAUUGCUGUUUGAAAAGCAAUUAACUGUGAUAGGUGGACCAAUCAGAGAGCAGUUUACUUCACAGUUUAGAAAGCACAGAUGUAAGUGUAGUUGGUCAUCACAGCUGAUUCUAUUGCUCACCUUCCAAACAGGAAACUGAGUCCUCACGGGACCGCGGGACUUUCCCAAGGUCAUGGCUGUCUUUCCUGACCCCAAACCCAGCUUUCUUCCCACCCUAGUGGGGUACCUCACAGUUACAGGCUUGUCGGUUUUCUUGAAGGAAACUGUCCCACUCUCUUGUCAGUGGAAGAACCAUACAGGUUGACAUCUGUGCCAGGGACUAGCAGAGGGCAGGAGUCCUGCAUCCUAAUGUUAGCUUGGCUGGCAAUCCCGUAUGCAGCUCUGGGAACAUUCUGUCUGUGGGCCUCAGUUUCCUCCUCCAUGAAAUUGGGGAGCUCAAACCAAAUGGCCUGAGGUUUCUUCUAGCUUUGUAUAUUCCAUGAUCUUUAUAGGAAAAAUCUGCAAAGGACAAAUAGAUGCUGUCUCUCAGUGGAGGUUGCUCCUCCUGCAUUAAAAUUCAUGAAUCCACAUUGUUUCUAAUCUGUCUGCAUCUGGAAAGGUUCCCUGCCGCAGUCUGUCUGGCUGCAGCAGAAUAAUCGGGGGGGGGGUGACGAAGAACUUGUGUACUUGAUACAGCAGGAGUAGGAGCCCUUUAUUGCAGGACAGGAGCAGUAUUUAUACAUUCCAUAGAGCUUAUCUAAUUAGCAUAAACUAGAUACAUCAGUCAACCAAUAAGGAAUCUCUACACUUAAUGGCUCACUUUUGUUACUUCUCAAACCACUCCCUCUGGCAUUUUGCCAGGCACCAUCCAGACUUGUUUACGAACUCUAACAUUCCCCUGGCUAAAUGCCAGGUGUUAUUUUGACUUGUUUACAGACUCUAACAGUUCCCCACAAGGAAGUAGCUGAUUACCCCCAUGUCUGCUUAGGACUGGAGAAAGUGUCAAAAAGAAGUACCAGUGCUGGGUUGAUAGUGCACACUUGUAAUCCCAGAGGCUUGGGAGGCUGAGGCAGGAGGAUCACGAGUUCCAAGCAGCCUCAGCAAAAGUGAGGCCCUAAGCAACUCAUAUGGACCCUGUCUCUAAAUAAAAUACAAAACAGGGCUAGGGAAGGUGUCUCAGUGGUGGAGUGCCCCUGAGUUCAAUCCAUUGUACCCCUUCCCCCAAAAAAGUACACUGUAAACUGAUAGUAGAAAAUACCAUUCUGAGGAUGGGGAAUUCCAAGUUUUUGUAAGUUAUAACUUUCUGUCUCAAACACUUAGUCUGAGUGUAUAAACAUGCCUUCUAUUAAUUAAGACUCUUGUGAGUCAGAAGUGCUGGAAACCUGACUCUAACUUGAGCAAAAAAGAAAAAUUCAUUGGGUCACCAUCCUAAAAAUUUCAUAAGGGAUGUUAAGCUUCAGGUAAGGCUGAAUCAAGAGCCCAAAUCAUGUCCUUAGAACUCUGACUUUCAUUGUUGCUCAGCUCUUCCUUUCUGUCUCUGUUAACAUAGAGGCUGUCAGUUGCUUCUGACUUAAAUGCCAUCUUCUCAGUUCACCUAAGUCUUGCUAUUAUUUCUCCCAGAAGUACCAGGAAUGAUUUGGAUUAGCUUCACCUGAGUCACUAGUUUAUCUGAGAUGGUCUCUCUAGCUAGGGAGAUGGAAUACAGAGGAGUGAAUCAUGGACCCACCUCUGGAUUACAGUGUCAGACCUUGUUGCGGCCAGACCAUAUGAAUGGCAAGAGAGAAGGGACAGUUUCCUAUGUGAACAGAAAAGGAGAUGUAAACUAGGCAGGGGGGAAAUAAAAAAAAGAAAGAAAGAAGAAAGGAAAGAGAAGAAAAAAAUUUACUUUUCUUUAUCACGCUCUCUUUUCCUGCUUUUGCCUCUUCCAGCAGUUGCAGGGAUGGACUUUGUUGUAGUAGAGAUAGUCAAUGUCAUUCCAGAAUUACAGCAUUUGAAAAUUGACUUUGUGCUGAACUCCUAGGGACAGAAGAGAAUUCCUGUAUCCCCCCACAGGUCCCUGGAGAUAGCCUGUCCAAAACAAUACAGCUUUAGAUGUUCAGAGAAACAGCCAGAAAUGCUCACCCAGGAACUGCCCAGGCUUGCUGGAAAGUGAGCAGCAUGAAACGGGCAGGAGAAACGUGCCUUAUGCCAAGGGCCCUCAUGAGCAGGCCUCAGGAGAGGUGCUGGCCAGGGCCCACCGGCAUGCUAGAAUCCAGAAGGCUGACCAGGGAUAAUCUGGGAUCUUCAGCAGAACCAGCAGAUCGGGACUUAGAGAUCUGGAGGUAGAAAUGCCCCAUGACCUUGUUCAGAGACACACAAAGACCAGUUUCUUGCUAACUAGCCCCCACCCAGCCCCCACAGUCCAAAAACAAUGUUGGUGUUUUAGAAAACCUUCCGGCCAAAGGACUGACUGUGGAAGGGCAAACAGUCACUGAGAUUGACUGGAUGAUUGACAGACUCUUCCACGUGUCUUCACCUCUGCCUACCUGUUCUCAACAGCACUGAAUGUCAUGUUGCAUGCUAUAGGCUCAUAGGGAAUGGGAAAAUGAGAGACUUACUUAGUCCCUACCCCCAAGAUGACUUAUGGUCUCUGAUUAGUGUCUGGGUUUUUUUUUCGCGUAUUGGGGGUUGAACUCAGGGGCACUUAACCACUGAGCCACAUCCCCAGCCCUUUUUCUGUUUUAUUUAGAGACAGAGUCUCACUGAGUUGCUUAGGGACUCACUAAGUUGCUGAGGCUGGCUUUGAACUCUUGAUCCUCCUGCCUCAGCCUCCUGAGUCACUGGGAUUACAGGUGUGUGCCACUACACCAGUCUCUGUUAGUGUCUUGACAGGCUAAAGAAAGUAUGAGAAUAACUUAGUCCUUGCUCCUGAGAUGCUCAUGAUCUCUGAUGAGGGUCUUGAAAGGCUGACGAAACUAUGAGAAUGUAGAUCACAGGUUGGAAAAUCCAGCCGCUGUCUCUAUUUGUCAAAAAGGUCUUAGUGAAGCUUGGUCACCCUUACUUGUGUAGACUUCCAUAUUUCAGAGCAGAAUUGAGUAGUUACAAGACAAAGUCUGAAAUAUUUACUCUCUGAAUCUAGUACCUGUCCCAGAAUAUUUGAGAGGAUACUCCUAGGGAUGCAGGGUCAUAGCUGAGACACAGGCUAAGAGGUCAGGGGAGGCCGAGGCAGCAGGGGACUUGAGGCCAAGACAGGGAGAUGAGAGUGCAUGCAGAGGCUAGGAUUAUUUAAAGUACAGGGACACAAUUAUCCCACUCCUUGGUCUAUACCCAGAGGACUUAAAAUCAGCAUACUACAGUGACAUAGUCACAUCAAUGUCUAUAGCAGCUCAAUUCACAAUAGCUAAGCUGUGGAACCAAUCUGGGUGCCCGACAACAGAUGAAUGGAUAAAGGAAAUGUGUUCUGUGUACACAAUGGACUAUUACUCAGCUAUAAAGAAGGAUGAAAUGAUGCCAUUUGCCAGUAAAUGAAUGGAACUGGAGACUAUUAUGCUAAGCAAAAUAAGCCAGGCCUAUAAAACCCAAGGCUGAAUGUUCUCUCUGAUAUGUGGAUGCUAACAUACAAUAAGGAGGGCUGUAGGGAAGAAUAGAAGUUCAUUAGAUUAGACAAAGGAGAUGAAGGGAAGGGGUGGGGAUAGAGAUAGGAAAGACAGUGGAAUGAAUGGGACAGAACUUUCCUAUGUUCAUAUGUGAACACCUGACCAGGGAAACUCCAUAUCAUGUCCAACCACAAGAAUGGGAAGUUAGACUCCAGGUAUAUAUGAUGUGUCAAAGUGCACUCUACUGUCACACAUAUCUAAAGAGAACAAAGAAAAAAAAAAAGAAGCAUUGCGGGGGCGGGGGGGGGGAGUGAAAAUUUUAAGCAGGGGGCGGGGCUGAUCAGCCGGCUCUCCUGGAAGUUCCCUGUGCGGUCCGGGAUGUGUUGAACCCAGAUUGCUUCCUUUCCCUGUGGUCCUCCCCUCCUCCACCUCGGAAACUGUGCAGCCUCUUGGAAGCAAGCCAGUAAAAAUGUCCCAAAUUAUCUAGUGUGGCCCUGGUGAACUUGGGUUACCCACGUGACCCCCGGUCCCUCCCUUCUGCAGUGGCCUCCUCCUUCCUGCUGCAGUGCUGUAGGAGCCGGGGACGUGGGAGGCUUCACAGGCCGUUUCUCUACUUGGCACCUCCAGCCUGAGUGGCAGUAAUUGGAUAAACAGUUUAAUUUAAUAGUAACAGAAGGACCGAGCCCAGUGCAAGGAAUCUCAUUGCUCUUUUCUCAAAGUGACUUUCCUUUCUAUGCAUUCUGAUAUAGUGUGGCCACCGGGGAGGCAAAGAAAUACAUGAGAUUGAUUUUUGCCUGGAAAGGGGGUCAGACUGUAAGAAGCAAUUUUAAUAGGCAUGUUCUGAAAAGAAUGCGCAAAAGGAUGGAGAGAGAUCAGACCCACAGAGAGGAGAGGGGAAGGAAAGGGGGAAGGGGAAAAAUGAUGUAUUGGGGGUUUCUUUUAGAUAUAGUUUCAGAAAAUAGUUGAUAGUCAUCCCCAAUUUUGGAGUUGGUGUAAUGGCUGGAUGUGAGGUGUCCCCCAAAAGCUCACGUGUGAGACAAUGCAGGAAGGUCCAGAGGAGAAAUGACCCAAUCAGUGAAUGAACCCCUGAUGGGAUUAACUGGGUGGGGACUGGAGGCAGGUGGGUGUGGCUGGAGGAGGUGGGCAUUCUGAGUGGAUAGAGGAAGCCAAAAUUUCCUUCCUAUCACAUUUUGCAAACCUGGCAGACAUUCGAAGCAGCCUUGUUCAUCAUUAAACCUGAUUUCACAGCUCUGGGGAGUAUCACAGCCCUAGAAACCCGGAGAGGGGAGGGAUUCAUGGGCAGUUCUCAGGAAUGCGCUCAGAGGUCCGCAAGCAGGGCCAGGAACAGCCAGCACAGCAAGGCUUUGUCAGAGGUGCUGCUCUAAUACACUUUCCAGCACCUUCUGCCUUCCCAUCUAGACUUUACAUAGGAAACUUGAAUGCAGGUUCUACUCACUAGGUGGAGGGUUAAGGAAACAACUCCGGUAGGAACAAGAUGGUUGAGAGAAAAUUCACACACACAUGAGCCUACGUGGGUGCUGGAUUCAGGCUCAAACUCUCGCUUCUUCGUUUCCUCUGCCUUUGCUGUCUUCUGAGUGACUGUGUUCCUCCCCAAAUUCAUAACUUGUUAACCCCCCAAUGUGAGAGUAUUGACAGUGGGGCCUUUGGAGGAUGAGUCCCUUAGGAACAGAAAGAGUACUCUUAAAAAUAGGUUUAAGGGCCAAGUGCAGUGGUGCACACCUAUAAUCCCAGCAGCUCAAGAGGCUGAGGCAGGAGGAUCACGAGUCCAAAGCCAGCCUUAGCAACUUAGUGAGGCACUAAGCAACUCAGUGAGACCCUGUCUCUAAAUAAAAUAGAAAAAAAGGCUGGGGAUGGGGCUCCAUGGUUGAGGCCCUUGGGUUCAAUCCCUAAUACCUAAUUAAUUACUUAAUUUAAUAAGCUUGAGGACUUCCUUUUGCCUUUCUAUCAUGUGAGGACACACAGAAGGUAGCAUCUGUAAGGAAAUGAGCCCUUGCCAGACAUCAGACCUGCUGGCACCUUAAUCUUGAAUCCCCCAAUCUCCACAACUGUGAAUUGUGAAGACACAUUUCUAUCAUUUGUAUAUUCCACAAUUUAUGGUAUUUUUGUUAUAGCAGCUGAAACAGCUUAAGACAACUUUCCUCUUUCUACUAUUUCUCUCUAUAUAAGGAUCUAAGGAGAGGUGUAGCCAGGACUUUGUUGCAUGCUAUAGAAUAAAAUAGAAUCUUGAAAUAAUGGCUGUGUUGUUGAACAGACUAAAGGACUCUUAGGAAGAAGUGAGUUGUGCAAAAGUUCAUCUCCGGAAUCCCUUCUACGAUCUGGGUGAAUCUUGAAAAAGAGCCAUCCUGUCAGGUCACACACAGGAAGGGCUCAGCCCCAGGCCUGGCUAUUAGAAUUCUAUUCCAAGCAUCAAAUAUCUUUUUUUUUUUAAUUUUUUUUAUUUUUGGUACCAAGGAUUGAACUCAGGGGCACUUAACCAUGGAGCCACAUCCUUAGCCCUAUUUAUUUUCUAUUUAGAGAAGGGUCUCACUGAGUUGCUUAGGGCCUCUAUGAAUUGCUGAGGUUGGCCUCAAACUUUUGAUCCUCCUGCCUCAGUCUCCCAAGCCACUGGGAUUACAGGUGGGGCCCCUAAACCUGUAGAAUCAAAUAUCUUAACUCACAACAUUACCUCAUGUUAUGAGGUAGGAGGCAGGUAGUAGAAGACAGGUGGCCGACAUGAAUAGUUCAUCAGAUGAGAAUGGAAAGGAAUGGAAGAGAAGUGGAUUGUGAAUUUCAGUCAGUAGUUAUUAUUCAACUCAUACCCUACCCCAGACACAGUGAUGGUGGAUGCAGAUAGGAUCACUGCCCACAAGAACAGAACUCCAAUAUUUAGGGUUGGGGAAGGCUGUGAGGGGAUGGAAAGGGUGUUAGGGUAUGGAUGGAAAGGUAGAAAGGGAGAAGUAGGUAGAGGAGAAGAUAUAUAAAUUACACACAGGUAAAUACCUAAGCCUGCUUUGAAAACCACACUGCAGGUAUCUGGCAUGUCCUCUGCAGGUGUGUGGCAUGUCAUCUGACUCACCCAGUAUCUCCAUCCAACAUCAUGGAAGGCAGACAGGAGGGAUCCCUCUCCCUCCUAAGUACCACGCCACCGCCUGUAUGGGAUCCCUGUGGCACUUAUUCCAAACUGCAUUCGUUAUUGAGUUUGGCCAUGUGCUGAUUAGCUUUCACCUGCAGCUCAUGGGGACACAGUCCUUCUCAAGAGAUGGCAGCCACUUCACCGAACCACACCCUCUUUAAUGGCAUCUACCCGCUUAGCCACCCUACCCAUGCUGACAAACACAGCUGUAGGGGAAUUAUGAAGCCAGGGACUGUUUACCUUUUCUCCCCAACACACCACUGCUACAUGGUUUUGAUGGAGACCAAACAAGGGAACCUCAACAAGACACCAGGAAGGGCAGCUGUGUUUCCAAGCAUCACACAAGGUUUGAAUAAUGCAGAGUUUACAUUAAAUACCUCCCAGGACUAACAAGGUGCAGAAUAAACUGUCUACUGAUAAGGCCUGGGCCUUGGGAUAGGGGUGAGUUCUUUUCAGCAGCUUGUGACUUACACUGGCAGAGAAAGCAGUCACAGCUACCACCCUUGGGGGGCCUGCUCUCAAUUAUCUCUCUAAGGAACAGGUACAUCCGGGCAUCUGAAGCUACUCAGACCAUCCAGAAACCGGCCAAGUUUUUGGCUCCACCAGAAGGCUGACUCUUGGUUUUCGAUAUGCAAACACUAAGGAUGUUUGUUUUCAUCUUCUUUACCGGGAAGAUAAAUGUCGUUUACUUUUCAAGAGAAUGGUUUGGAGCCAAAGAUUUUCCUUCACUUACAAAUAGAAACUAGAGAGUGGAACUGAGAGUGUAUAAACUUGGGUUCCCACUGUCGGGAAGCAGACCUUAAAGCCAUCUGCUAAUGUCAUCAGGAAUCCAAGGGGAUCCCCAGGUUUUAAUGUAGGAGCUGCGCUGGAUCUCCAGAGGCUGGCCGCAUUUACCUGAGGCUCAGUCACCUCCUCAGAUUAUUUCUUGAUUUUUUUGGAGGGGGUCCUGGGGUAUGAACUCUGGGGGCACUCAGCCACGGAGCCCCAUCCCCAGCCCUAUUUUGUAUUUUAUUUAGAGACAGAGUUUCUCUGAGUUACUUAUCACCUGCUUUUGCUGAGGCUAGCUUUGAACUCACAAUCCUCCUGCCUCAGCCUCCUUGAGCUGCUGGUAUUUUAGGCAUGUGCCACUGCACCCAGCCUCCCCAGAUUAUUAUUGUACCCAGAAAAGGGCAUUUUUCAUCUCUCUCUCUCUCUCUCUCUCUCUCUCUCUCUAUAUAUAUAUAUAUAUAUAUAUAUAUAUAUAUAUAUAUAUAUAUACACUUACAUUUGUUCUAAUUAGUUAUACGUGACAGCAGGAAGGGCAUUUUGUUGCAGUCUUCCUUGACCUUUAUCCUCCGCACUUGAGUGAAUUAUUAAUUAAUGUAGACCCUGCUAAAAUACCAUUCAGUAUAACUCUCACUUCUCCUGGUCUUUUUUCCUUUUUGAUUUAGCAAAAGUUUCUAGAAAUGAUAGCUGGUCUCUUGGACUACCCUGGUGACAUUUACAUACAACUGAAAAUUGCUACCAAGCCCUUCUCUUAUUUUUAUUUAUUUAUUUUUUUUUGCUGGUGAAUUGCUAGAAAAUUCUGGAAUAGGUUAUUUUGGCUUGGCCCCAGCUACGCGUGAAAUGCCAGACCCAGCAGGACUGCAGUGGUUCAUUCUUCUUUGAGGACAGGAGAGCAGCAGAAGUUGUAGGAGGGUUUAGAAGUGGAUGGGGUGGGGCUGGGCACAUGGAAGGCCUCCACAAAGCACACACAACAGGUGGGUUAUUUGCUAUGUUUGCCUCCAGCAAAUUACCACUGAGGUGAGAUGACAAAGACAGAAUGGCUUUGACUUUCAAAUUCAGUGAACUUGGAGCAUCUGAUCGUAUUGUUAAAUCAGUCAGGAAAUAGAAAACUGCCUGUCCAGAGUCAAGAUCAUCAAAGAGGAAAAAUUGGGAUGAAGAUGAUAUCAAAACUGUAUUAAACUGUAUUCAAGUGGGCACAGUCUUGCUCCUCUGUAAUCCCAGUGGCUCGGGAGGUUGAAGCAGGAGGAUCAUGAGUUUGAAGCCAGCCUUGGCAACUCAGUGAGAUUGUAAGCAACCCAGUGAAUCCCUGUCUCAAAAUUUAGAAAAAGGCAGGCUGGGGAUGUGGCUCAGUGGUUUAGGGCCCCUGGUUCAAUCCCUGGUACAAACAAACAAACAAACAAAAAGGAAACCAAACCCCAAACUAUAUUCAAAAUGCACAGAGAAACUUUAAGUAAAAUUCACAUGUGCAUGUACAUGUGUGUUUAUGAAUUCUUUUUUUUUGGUACCAAGGAUUAAACUCAGGGGCACUCAACCACUGAGCCACAUCCCCAGCCCUAUUUUGUAUUUUAUUUUGAGACAGGAUCUCACUGAGUUGCUUAGGGUCUCACUAAGUUGCUGAGGCUGGCUUUGAACUCACGAUCCUCCUGCCUCAGCCUCCCGAGCCACUGGGAUUACAGACAUCGUAUCCAGCCUAUUAUGAAUACUUUUUAAGGACUAGGUUCAAGGGGCUGGGGAUGUGGCUCUAGCGGUAGCGUGCUCGCCUGGCAUGCGUGCGGCCCGGGUUCGAUCCUCAGCACCACAUACAAACAAAGAUGUUGUGUCCGCCAAAAACUAAAAAAUAAAUAUUAAAAAAUUCCCUCUCUCUCUCUCUCUCUUAAAAAAAAAAAAGAACUAGGUUCAAGUCUUUGUUCUGCUACCAUCCUGCCAUGUGGCCUUGAGGGACUUGUAUCAUCUCUCUUAACUUGCAUUUCCUUAUCUGUAACACUGCCAACAUCAUAGGAUUGUCAGAGGCUGCAACUAAAUAGAGCAUGUCCUAUGCCUGGUACAUAGUGUGGGCCCACCUGUAGCUUUCAAAAUCAUGGACAACCUUUUACUACAGUGAGUACAAACAGGUUCUGUUUCUACUGUCAUCGCAGAAAUGACUUGUGGCUGUCUGGGGUGCUAUGUUAAGAAAGACCUGUGGCUGGGCUUGGUGGAAAAGAUUUACCUGAUCCAUUUUUGACGUCUGCUACUGACAGACUGGGGAGGGGGUAUAUUUGCCAUACUGAGUUCAAUGGAAAGGUCACAAAGGGUCAGAGACAGUCACCAUGAGCUGGAUAACAUAGGAACAUCUUUUUUCCCUUCUUUUUCCUUAUUUUUCCCAAUGAGAAAUGAAUGAGCAAAAAGAAAAAUUUUCUUUUUUUUUGUACUGGGGAUUGAACCCAGGGGUGCUUAACCACUGAGCCACAUCCCAGCCCUUUAUAUUUUUUUAUUUAGAGACAGGGUCUUGCUGAGUUUCUUAGGGCCUCGCUGUUAAUGAGUCUGGCUUUACUUUACACUUGUGAUCCUCCUGCCUCAGCCUCCCGAGACCCUGGUAUUAUAGGAAUGUGCCACUGUGACCACCCGAGCAAAAAUUUUUGAUUGCUGUGGUCUCUCCGAAUCGGAAACUCCUGAUUCUAAUCUAAGUGCUGCACACUGUAUUAUUGGCUUGAAAUGUUAAUGCAUUUCUGUAGGAUUAUAAAGUUAAUUUUUCUGUGUAACCUUGUUCUAUGGCCCUGUUUUCAGGAACGUCCACCAUCCCAUCAGCAAAAGAGUGUGUAAGCAAGAAAAUGAAGCUGUGUUUAAGGAGUCCUCCUCAUCUGCUGUGUGCUCUUAUCCAGUCAAAAACCUCUCUGGGCUUUUUCUAUCACCUGGAAAAUGGAAGAAAGAUUAUUUCUGUCCUCUCCUGACUCUGAGAUAUGGACCAAGUGAAUGAGUUCAUGUUUCCACCACGCUUUGAAGUUGUCAGAAGACAGAUUAUGUGACUCUGAAGUCUUGGGUCUUCCCAUGAAAAUGUGGCUCAGAAAUUCCUCCCUGGAUAUGACCCACUUAAUAUCUAUCUGAUGGCCUACAGCUUUGCUAUAACACAGCCAUGGCUGCAGAAGGAAAAAGAGAUUAAAAAAAAAAUCCAGAACUGAUCAUUUUCUUUCAAAGUUGAGUUUCCUUAAGUGUAAAUUAUAUGGCUUCUGUGAAGGUUAAAAGUAUCAUCAAAGCUGAAAGAAGGUUGGUUGAAAUAGUCCACUUGGCAAAAAUGGCUUCCACAGGACAACAACUAGAGCUGCUUUCAAAGAGACUUAAAGCCACCUUGUUGGGAAAGGAGCAAAUGGCUCCGUGGGGUUGAAAUAUCUUGGCUCCUUAAUAGUGGUGAAAGUUGAUCCCAGUGCCAGAUUCUGUUCCAGUGGAUAAAGUCUGAACUUGAAAGAUGUCACAGAAUUCCCCAAAGCUAACAUUCCUAAGAAAGACUGCAUUGUCAGCAGGGGAAAAGUGACCCCUGUUCUCACCUUGGUUAUACCUCUGGUACAGAAAGACCCAAGCCAAGGUAGGUAAACAGAAUAACUUUUGCUUCUUCCUGAGCACCUCAGGGACCUAAAGCAAGGACUAC